UAAUACGGAGGGAGCUAGCGUUGUUCGGAAUUACUGGGCGUAAAGCGUGCGUAGGCGGUGACUCAAGUCAGAGGUGAAAGCCUGGAGCUCAACUCCAGAACUGCCUUUGAAACUAGGUCGCUAGAAUCACGGAGAGGUGAGUGGAAUUCCGAGUGUAGAGGUGAAAUUCGUAGAUAUUCGGAAGAACACCAGUGGCGAAGGCGGCUCACUGGACGUGUAUUGACGCUGAGGCACGAAAGCGUGGGGAGCAAACAGGAUUAGAUACCCUGGUAGUCCACGCCGUAAACGAUGAUAACUAGCUGCCGGGGCACUUGGUGCUUCGGUGGCGCAGCUAACGCAUUAAGUUAUCCGCCUGGGGAGUACGGUCGCAAGAUUA
rnacentral:rRNA from 1 species